rnacentral:tRNA from 3 species
GGGGUAUAGCUCAGUUGGCUAGAGCACCUGCCUUGCAAGCAGGGGGUCGUCGGUUCGAAUCCGACUAUCUCC